UGGGGAAUUUUGGACAAUGGGGGCAACCCUGAUCCAGCCAUCCCGCGUGUGCGAUGAAGGCCUUCGGGUUGUAAAGCACUUUUGGCAGGGAAGAAACAGCCUGGGAUAAUACCCCGGGCGACUGACGGUACCUGCAGAAUAAGCACCGGCUAACUACGUGCCAGCAGCCGCGGUAAUACGUAGGGUGCAAGCGUUAAUCGGAAUUACUGGGCGUAAAGCGUGCGCAGGCGGUUCGGAAAGAAAGGUGUGAAAUCCCAGGGCUUAACCUUGGAACUGCACUUUUAACUACCGAGCUAGAGUACGUCAGAGGGGGGUAGAAUUCCACGUGUAGCAGUGAAAUGCGUAGAGAUG
rnacentral:rRNA from 1 species